GAUGAACGCUAGCUACAGGCUUAACACAUGCAAGUCGAGGGGCAGCAUUUUUAUAGCAAUAUAAAAGAUGGCGACCGGCGCACGGGUGAGUAACACGUAUCCAACCUGCCGAUAACUCGGGGAUAACCCUUCGAAAGAAGGCCUAAUACCCGAUGGCAUAUCCCUUCCGCCUGGUGGGGAUAUUAAAGAACUUCGGUUAUCGAUGGGGAUGCGUUCCAUUAGCUUGUUGGCGGGGUAACGCCCACCAAGGCAUCGAUGGAUAGGGGUUCUGAGAGGAA
rnacentral:rRNA from 1 species